CCCGAGUGGGCGGGACGUUUAUUGGGACUAAAGCAUCCGUAGCCGGUUCUACAAGUCUUCCGUUAAAUCCACCUGCUUAGCACAUGGGCUGCGGAAGAUACUAUAGAGCUAGGAGGCGGGAGAGGCAAGCGGUACUCGAUGGGUAGGGGUAAAAUCCGUUGAUCCAUUGAAGACCACCACUGGCGAAGGCGGCUUGCCACAACGCGCUCUACGGUGAGGGAUGAAAACUGGGGGAGCAAACCGGAUUAUAUACCCGGGUAGUCCCAGCUGUAAACGAUGCAGACUCGGUGAUGAGUUGGCUUAUUGCUAACUCAGUGCCGCAGGGAAGCCGUUAAGUUUGCCGCCUGGGGAGUACGGUCGCAAGACUGAAACUUAAAGGAAUUGGGGGGGGAGCACACA
rnacentral:rRNA from 1 species